rnacentral:piRNA from 1 species
UCCGUGCUGAUGUUCCAUGGGAGG